AGGAGCGAUUUAUUUAUUUUUUUUGUGUCCCAAUGGUCCAAGCAGGGCAGGAAAUGAACCCAAAGGGUUAAAAGAAAUAAAUAAAGGCAGCAGGUUAAAAGUGAGAAGCUGAGCUUUUUUUCAGAGACGUCGCCACCUGACUGUUUUUCACGAGCUGAGUAUCAUGGGAGGAUUUGUGUUUAACCUCUGGCCUUAUACCCCCCCUACCCCCACCAUAAGCACACACUCCACCCCACUCCACUCCAUCCGGAGUCCAAAAAGAGACGCACCAAAAUGAGAAACAGGAACGACGGAGUCGCACAUCUGGCACAGAGCCGAGCCAGCAGAACGGAGGUCGGAGGUCGUCAGAAACUCCACUGCGGUUUUAAAUCCAACUGCCAAAAGUUUGCUCACUACGUUCCCGGCUAAAGUAAAAAAGAGGGCGAUGUGUGAAAACGUGCAGCUCUGGUGUUGCUUUCACCAGAGCCAGCAAGAGCGUGUCUCCCCUGUGCGAGGCAUCGCGUGACUUCGGAUCACCGUAGUGAGAGGCCCUGGAAUUUAAAGCUGCCAGCGGAGCGCCUCUACAUCUGGUUGGCAGGUUCCCGAGGAAAACAAGGCGAAUGGAAGGAAAGAUUGGAGGGAGAACCUACUCAGGGGCCCAGCCCAGAAAACUACACACACGCAACCUCUCAGCAGAACUUCAUUAGUCUCCCUGUCACCCUCUGGGCCUACUAGACAUGUUUACAUUCAACAGAGAGCCGGAGCGCCGUCUCGGAGAAGAUGUUACUGAGACGGGUUAUGUGAAACUGGAGGGUUGGUUCACCACGCUGCACACGUCAGCGACAAGAAAGACACACACACCCGAGACACGAGAGGCUUUUAUCACCACGAUAUGAAAUGUCAGUCGUCUAGGUGAAGCUGUGUUUGUUUUCUAUCAUGGCAGACACCACGCCCACUGAAAGCACUGACAGCUUUAAAGAGGUGAGGCAGACGGGUACAAUACUACCCCCCCUCCCCAAGGCUGACUGAAGGAACAUGGAGCUAACUCACACUCACAUGAUUCCACUCUCACACGUAGGCAGUAAACAAAAACCUGAGCAUAGUGUCUCCAAGUAAAG